AUGAGGGGUUUCACUUACAGGACACAAUGGAUUUUGAGCUGCCUGACCCAGAAGAUAACUGCGAGGUGCUUCCUCAGCAACUUCCUGAAGCUGAAAGUCAAAUCCGUGGCCAAGAAAUUGAGCUCCAUCCCAGGAGAUAUGCUCUUAGACCAACGACGUUGGUAUUACAAUGUGUGCAUAGAGACCGAGGCCAAGCCCAGUGUUCAAAGAAAGAAACUGAAUCCUUGUCUCAGAGCAAACAAGGGGAAGUCAACAAAUACAUUGGAAAGCAGGAAUUCUUGGAAGAGAGAGUACGUGAACUAGAAAGUGAAAACAUGUUGCUUCGACAGCAACUGGAAGUUGCUCAAAAUGAGGCCAAAAGGAAAAAGACAAUACUUAAUAUACCAGAGGCGUUUCCGGAUCACAUGGGAAGACUUGAAGCCAUGAGCAAACGAGUUCUGAUGCUGGAGGAAGGAAACAAGGAAUUAGUCAAUGAAUACAAGUGUUUAAAGGACAGACUGUAUCAGUAUGUAACUGACAGAGCAGAAAUGAAAGCCUGUAUGAGACAGCUUCAACAAGAGCUGACUGACACCCAAAAGAAAAUGUCCAUGUUGGAAGCUUCCCUGGAGGUGACAGCACAUCAUCAGACUGAUUCAGAAAACGAGAGACAGGAUUCAGAGAGGAAAUCACAUGAAACUGCGAACCCAAAUGCUGAUCUUCCAACAAAAGUGGAAUCUAAAUCUUCAGUACUUCUCCAUGUGAGUGCAGAAACUCAACUUUUUCUAAAGGAGUUAUUAUCUGUGAAAGAAUUGUAAAAGAAAUCUGGCACACUGGAGGAGGAGAAGAAGAAGUUGGAAGAAGGAAUAGUAAGCCUCCAACGUCGCCUCGAAAUGAACACAGUGGAACGCAGUCCAGUAGAACAGUACAAAACGGGAGACUGAAGAGCAAGCAAGACGGGAUGUAGUAGAAAAAUUGAAAGAACUCAGUCAAGUCGUGCAGUACAACCGGGAGACUGAAGCGAGAGCAAGACAGGAUGUAGCAGAAAAAUUGAAAGAAAUCAUCCAGUUUUUACAGGCACAAGCAGCAUCUCAAGAAAACUCAUUAAGAGAGGAUAAACGUGCUUCAGUAAGUCAAAUGGAAUACAAAGUUAAAGAUCUGGAAACUGAACUGAAAAGUAAAACUUUUCCGUUCGAUUCUAAUGAAAAAGUAUUGGAAAAAUACAGACAACUGUACCUGGAAGAGCUAGAAAAUAGAAUGUCAUUGGCAAGUCAACUAAACUCGGCUAAUGAGAGGCUGGCAGAGAUGAACACUAAACUGCAGCUGGAGAAACAGCACGACAGUUCUUUCCUCGGCUUUGUUCCUGCAAGGCCUGUUGACGGACCGCCUUCUGCUGAAAGUUCCAGUACUAGUGUAGAGCCCAAAAGGAAUGUUCCUCGAAGAAGGAACUUCAGGAAUUUUUCAGACCCUUCAACUAGCAUGAGCGGUCACUUGUUCACGCUACUACUGAACUUCAGUCAGCCCUACAGAUUCUCAUAGGCUCAAUGGACGAGUGAAGUCUAAAUCAAGGUCUGGUUUCGAAAGCAUGUCAAGAAUAUGUGGAGAUUUUGAAGAAAGAGUAUAUGAUCUACAAGAUAAAUAGUAAACAUUUACCUGCUGGGCUGUUUGCCUAACAUUUUAGUUAUUUCCCGUUAAGUAAGAUAUUGACAGUGUCUAUUAAAGGAAAAUACUUCUGUAUUAUAUGUGCAUGAUUAAAAUUUAUACAGUAUUUUAAACCA